rnacentral:rRNA from 1 species
GAGGAAUAUUGGUCAAUGGACGCAAGUCUGAACCAGCCACGUCGCGUGAAGGAAGACGGCCCUACGGGUUGUAAACUUCUUUUAUACGGGAAUAAAGUGCCCCACGUGUGGGGUUUUGCAUGUACCGUAUGAAUAAGGAUCGGCUAACUCCGUGCCAGCAGCCGCGGUAAUACGGAGGAUCCGAGCGUUAUCCGGAUUUAUUGGGUUUAAAGGGUGCUCAGGCGGGGGGUUAAGUCGGCGGUGAAAUUUUGCAGCUCAACUGUAAAAGUGCCUUCGAAACUGGGAGUCUUGAGUAUGGAUGAAGUAGGCGGAAUUCGUUGUGUAGCGGUGACAUGCAUAGAUAUAACGAGGAACUCCGAUUGCGUAGGCAGCUUACUAAGCCAUAACUGACGCUCAUGCACGAAAGCGUGGGGAUCAAACA